rnacentral:rRNA from 1 species
GACGAACGCUGGCGGCGGGCUUAACACAUGCAAGUCGAACGGAAAGGCCGUGCUUUUGUGGGGUGCUCGAGUGGCGAAGGGGUGAGUAACACGGGAGUAACCUGCCCUUGACUAAGGGAUAACUACAGGAAACUGGGGCUAAUACCGGAUAGGAGAUCCUGCUGCAUGGGGGGGGUUGGAGAGUUUCGGCUGUUGGGGAUGGGCUCGCGGCUUAUCGGCUUUUUGGUGGGGUAGUGGCUUACCAAGGCGUUGACGCGUAGCCGGCCUGAGCUGAUGACCUGCCCCGUUGGGCCUGAACUACGACACAGACUAGUAUGGGACGCAGCAGUGGAGAAUAUUGUACAAGGGGCGGAAGCCUAAUGCAGCACCGCCGCGUGCCGGAUGUCGUCAUUCGGGUUGUAAACCGAAUUCCCCUUUGACGAAGCGUUAGUGACGGUAAUGGGUAAAUAAGCACCGGCUAACUACGUG